rnacentral:rRNA from 1 species
CCUACGGGAGGCAGCAGUGAGGAAUAGUGGUCAAUGGACGAGAGUCUGAACCAGCCAAGUAGCGUGAAGGAUGACUGCCCUAUGGGUUGUAAACUUCUGUUAUAAAGGAAUAAAACGAGGCACGUGUGCCUUUUUGCAUGGACUUUAUGAAUAAGGAUCGGCUAACUCCGUGCCAGCAGCCGCGGUAAUACGGAGGAUCCGAGCGUUAUCCGGAUUUAUGGGGUUUAAAGGGAGCGUAGAUGGGUUGUUAAGUCAGUUGUGAAAGUUUGCGGCUCAACCGUAAAAUUGCAAUUGAUACUGGCAGUCUUGAGUACAGUUGAGGUAGGCGUACUUCGUGGUGUAGCGGUGCCAUGCUUCGAUAUCAC